CCUCAAGUGAUGAUUAUUGGAGGUAGAGCACUGUUUGGACGAGGGGCCCCUCUCGGGUUACCGAAUUCAGACAAACUCCGAAUGCCAAUUAAUUUAACUUGGGAGUCAGAACAUGGGUGAUAAGGUCCGUGUUCGAAAGGGAAACAGCCCAGACCACCAGCUAAGGUCCCAAAAUAUAUGUUAAGUGGAAAAGGAUGUGGCGUUGCCCAGACAACUAGGAUGUUGGCUUAGAAGCAGCCAUCAUUUAAAGAGUGCGUAAUAGCUCACUAGUCGAGUGACACUGCGCCGAAAAUGUACCGGGGCUAAACAUAUUACCGAAGCUGUGGAUUGUCCUUUGGACAAUGGUAGGAGAGCGUUCUAAGGGCGUCGAAGCAUGAUCGCAAGGACAUGUGGAGCGCUUAGAAGUGAGAAUGCCGGUGUGAGUAGCGAAAGACGGGUGAGAAUCCCGUCCACCGAUUGACUAAGGUUUCCAGAGGAAGGCUCGUCCGCUCUGGGUUAGUCGGGUCCUAAGCUGAGGCCGACAGGCGUAGGCGAUGGAUAACAGGUUGAUAUUCCUGUACCACCUAGUAUCGUUUUAAUCGAUGGGGGGACG
rnacentral:rRNA from 1 species